UGCAUUCGUUACAUUUUUAAAUUUUAAAUUUGGAAAGAUCCCGUUAAUACUAUACGGAGGCUGAAAUAGGAUUAGACUGAUUCUUUUCAGUAAAAUUUCAUUUUAUUUUGAAACGUAUAUAGAAACACACCUGAUCCAAAACGCGUUGAACGUGAGGUAGACAGACCAAUUUACAGUGCUCACCAUAUACUGGUAAUGUAUAAAAAAAGGCAAGGGUAGCUUUACAUUACGGUCAUACAGUGCACUUUUGCAUCGCCUAGUACUGUUUUAAAACCUAUAGGGCGUUUCGAAAAUAGAGAUCAUCUAGGUAAUGAAUAAUGCAUUCAGUAAAGGGUCGACAAGCAGGAUUAUUUGGCUCCGACUUCAACUGUCGUCUAAGCCAGAUUUGAUUUUUCUAUGAUUGAUUCUUGUCAAUCAUGGUUACUUUCGCGAUUCUCCAGUGUUUAGUUUAUGAUAUGACCACGUCGGAGAAUUUGACGAGAAGUGGUGCGGUUCUUUGUGUGUGUACUGCCACGUUCAGAUUUCAGGCAAAACGGAACUUCUGGGACUUGAUUUUAAAAUUUACCGUUUAUUCCUUGAUAUAAUCGUAUAUUACAUAGAAUGGACGUGAAAUUGCGAAGAAAAAUCUGCUUUGCGUCUUUUACCCAAUCCAAAGGGUGCGAAUGGCUUGUCAUCUCUCUUUUGUCAUUUAUUUUACGUCACGGUGUUCUGAAAUCCGCUCACUAAUAUCGCCUAUUCUCGGAAAACUUGCUUUGAUAGUAACUAAUCAUAUUUUAGAAGACCGAGCUAGAGAUAUUUACGGAUGCUUCCUCCCUGAUGGAAGAUACCCUUUCUCCUUUUGGAUACCUUUUAUAUCCUGGUCUUCGUUACUUCUCUGCACUGGCAUGAGUAGACGAAUUGCAAUAUAAAUGCUAACUCGGUAACAGCACGACUGGCAGUAGAGGGUUGUUGACUCAAGGCUAGGGGUUCGUUGAACAGUUUCUCUGUUUCAAACGAAGCGGAGCGGCAAAAGGAGCAACCAACUUCUGUUAGGCUUUGCCGAUUACUUUUGUAGGAAUUAGGACACCGCAAGCCGAAAGCCAGUCAUAGUGGUCUCAAAUAGGAAGCAGAAGAAUCGGACACAGCAGAGACAGGAGUGAGAAUGGAAGCUCGUGCCUCCAUCUUAUUAUACGUAAAGGAAACGAAGCAUAGCCAUUUUCCAGUCUGUCGCUUGGCUAUCUCGGGUAUCUGUGAUAUCGGGUGUCGAGAAUUAGUUAUCAAUGUAGCGUUAUCCUAGCAGAAAAUUGCUUGUUUCGAUGAGUCAUUAUGUUGUUAUUGCUGUUGUAAAAGGGGCAACUAGCCCGGACUUUGCGAAUUCAGCAAGUGAUGCUGUUUCAGAGCUUAAUGUGUAUCCUUGGGAGAAACAAAGUAUCUGUGCAUUAGCGCUCAUAAGGCCAGUUGGUAGAUCUGCGAUGGGCGGCAUGCCAGACACGAUGUCUUACCUGGUAAAUGCUGUUAGUGGAGGCGGUAGAAUUUCACACAACGCUACAAAAAUCGCCUAUGCAAAGGGGCCAUCACCGAUAUGAGCAGGAACAGCAACAACAAUGGCAAAAUCAAAACGGGGAAAGCUGCAAAUCGGUGCGAGCCUCAACGGUUCUGUGAUCCUGGCCUUUCGCUAAUAGUUCACCAUCAUUACUGUUAGCUCAACCGCAUUGACAUAGAUUUUACGUACAAUAGACAAAACCGAAGGAACGACAGUACUUACUCUCCAGAUAGAAUUCAGAGCAUCUAGCCAGCAGAUUACGUAAAUUAUCAUACAGUAGCUGCUUUUAACCAGACCGACCAUAUAGCAUGUAUUCUCUGUUAUGGCAAAUUAAAUCAUUACAAUUUAUUAAUAACGUUUGCUUGGUGAGCAAAAUAUC